AUACUUACAUGGCAGGGGAGGUGCCAUGACCAGGAAGGUGGUUUUCCCAGGGCGUGGCUCACCCAUUGGAUGUGCUGACCCCUUCCAAUUUCCCCAAAUUCGGGAAACUCAACUGUAUACUUUGUGGUAGUGGGGGAGCUGCGUUCUCGUUCUCCCCUA